rnacentral:rRNA from 1 species
CAGGGAUUGCCUUAGUAACGGCGAGUGAAGCGGCAAUAGCUCAAAUUUGAAAUCUGGCGCUUGCGUCCGAGUUGUAAUUUGCAGAGGAUGAUUUUGGUUAGGUACCUUCCGAGUUCCUUGGAACAGGACGCCUUAGAGGGUGAGAGCCCCGUACGGUUGGAUGCCGAGCCUUUGUAAAUCUCCUUCGACGAGUCGAGUAGUUUGGGAAUGCUGCUCUAAAUGGGAGGUAAAUUUCUUCUAAAGCUAAAUACCGGCCAGAGACCGAUAGCGCACAAGUAGAGUGAUCGAAAGAUGAAAAGCACUUUGAAAAGAGGGUUAAAUAGCACGUGAAAUUGUUGAAAGGGAAGGAUUUAUGACCAGACUUUUUCUAGGAGGAUCAUCCGGUGUUCUCACCGGUGCACUUCUUCUAGUCUAGGCCAGCAUCGACUUUCGGCGGUGGAUAAAAGCUUUGGGAAUGUGACUCCUUUCGGGGAGUGUUAUAGCCUAUUGUAUAAUACACUGCUGGGGGUCGAGGUACGCGCUUCUGCAAGGAUGCUGGCGUAAUGGUUAUCAAUCACCCGUCUUGAAACACGGACCAAGGAGUCGAACAUUUGUGCAAGUGUUUGGGUGUUAAACCCUCACGCGUAAUGAAAGUGAACGGAGGUGAGAGCCCUUACGGGUGCAUCAUCGACCGAUCCUGAUGUUUUCGGAUGGAUUUGAGUAAGAGCAUAACUGUUCGGACCCGAAAGAUGGUGAACUAUGCGUGGAUAGGGUGAAGCCAGAGGAAACUCUGGUGGAGGCUCGCAGCGGUUCUGACGUGCAAAUCGAUCGUCAAAUCUGCGCAUGGGGGCGAAAGAGCUAAU